rnacentral:tRNA from 1 species
GCCUGGGUGGCUCAGUUGGUGGGGCGGCUGCCUUCAGCUCAGGUCAUGGUCCCAGGGUCCUGGGUUCAAGUCCCACCUCUGGUU